CCUACGGGUGGCAGCAGUGGGGAAUAUUGCGCAAUGGGCGAAAGCCUGACGCAGCGACGCCGCGUGAGGGAUGAAGGUCUUCGGAUCGUAAACCUCUGUCAGCAGGGAAGAACGGUCACUGUGCUAAUCAGCAGUGAAUUGACGGUACCUGCAAAGGAAGCACCGGCUAACUCCGUGCCAGCAGCCGCGGUAAUACGGAGGGUGCGAGCGUUAAUCGGAAUUACUGGGCGUAAAGCGCUCGUAGGCGGUAUGUCAAGUCAAGGGUGAAAUCCCCGCGCUAAACGUGGGAACUGCCUUUGAAACUGGCAAACUGGAGUGUGUGAGAGGAUAGUGGAAUUCCAGGUGUAGGAGUGAAAUGCGUAGAUAUCUGGAGGAACAUCAGUGGCGAAGGCGACUAUCUGGCACAUAACUGACGCUGAGGAGCGAAAGCGUGGGUAGCAAACAGGAUUAGAUACCCUGGUAGUC
rnacentral:rRNA from 1 species